UACGGGGGGGGCAAGCGUUGUUCGGAAUUACUGGGCGUAAAGGGCGCGUAGGCGGCCUGCUAAGUCGGACGUGAAAUCCCUCGGCUCAACCGAGGAACUGCGUCCGAUACUGGUGGGCUUGAAUCCGGGAGAGGGAUGUGGAAUUCCAGGUGUAGCGGUGAAAUGCGUAGAUAUCCGGAGGAACACCGGUGGCGAAGGCGGCUUCCUGGACCGACACUGACGCUGAGGCGCGAAAGCUAGGGGAGCAAACGGG
rnacentral:rRNA from 1 species